GUAAGGGGCGAGCGUUGUUCGGAUUUACUGGGCGUAAAGGGUGCCUAGGCGGCAUGCUAAGUCGGAAGUGAAAUCCCCCGGUCCAACUGGGGAACUGCUUUCGAAACUGGCGUGCUUGAGUACGGGAGAGGAGAGCGGAAUUCUCGGUGUAGCGGUGGAAUGCGUAGAUAUCGAGAAGAACACUCGUGGCGAAGGCGGCUCUCUGGAACGAUACUGACGCUGAAGCACGAAAGCCAGGGGAGCAAACGGGAUUAGAUACCCCGGUAGUCCUGGCCGUAAACUAUGUACACUUGGUGUAGGAGGUAUCGACCCCUCCUGUGCCGAAGCUAACGCAUUAAGUGUACCGCCUGGGGAGUACAGUCGCAAGGCUG
rnacentral:rRNA from 1 species